UAUUACAUCCGGAUCUCAGUAUCCCUCUGUCUUCUCCACCCAGUCCCUUCCCCCUGUUUCUAGGUUCUUAUUACCAUCAAGGAAAGAAUUCAGAGACAUGACAAAGUAAGGAACUGGAAUAACAUCUUAUUACAGAGUGAAAACAUAGACUCAAGAGGUGCUUAUAUGUUUCUCAAAGACUCUCAUUGCUGGGGCUUUGGAUAGCUUGUUUUAUGUAUAAUUUUUAAUGGAAGGAAGGCCUUAUUCAUGAGUUAAGGUAUGUAUGGGGAUACUGGAUACUCAAGGAGUCAGUCGGUUGAAACUUUUCUGAGAAGAGCAUUUUCUCCCCUCUUCUGUUCUUAUCUGAGAUUUUCGGAUCAGCAUGGUGUCCAGUGCAAUGAUGGGAACUUGAGACUUUGCAAGGUUGAGAUGCUGUCACAGUGCCGCAACAACACAUUGUGGUUGUCUUGGACAAGCAACUGAUAUAGAGACUAAGACAUAAAGACACAUAUUUGGAGGGGCUGGAGAGCAAGCCUCCCCACUGGGAAGGACGGCUUCCCCAGGCUGAGGCACGUCUCUCUACCUGCCCAAUGCCUGGAUUUGAUGAACGUUGAGGACCUGGGAAUCAAGGCCCACAUAGACUGGAAGUUACCUUUCUUUCUGCCUACCUGGACUACAAAAGAGACAUCACUGAUCUUUCUGGGUUUUGGUAGAGGGAGGAAGGCCUUCUAUUUAGGGCAAGAGCCAGGCAAAAGCCCCCUCCUGGAAAAUGUAGCUGAGAUUUCUGUUUUGUAGCCAUUUCUAGAAGAAGCCCCCAACACACACCCAGUUUGUUUUUGAGACAGGGUCUCGCUUAGCUGAGGCUGGUUUUGAACUGACCUUCCUACCUCCACUUCCCAGGUGCUGGGGGUUGUAUGUAUACACCAUCACACUCAAAUUCCCCCUCAGCUGUCUGCCCCAGUCCUCUACUAUAUCUCAGUGUUAGACUCUUGCUCUUUCUUAAGGAGGGGGAGUUGCGUGCUGAGCCAGAGGAAGGGGUGGGCAGAUACCUUCCUUCCUAUUUUUAUCUAAUAAAAU